AGCACGGUGGUGUAGUGGGAUCACGUUGGGCUCAUAACCCAAAGGUCAGCCGAUCGAAACGGCUCUGUGCUA